AUUGAACGCUGGCGGCAGGCCUAACACAUGCAAGUCGAGCGUGAAAGUCCUUCGGGAUGAGUAAAGCGGCGGACGGGUGAGUAACGCGUAGGAAUCUACCUGGUAGUGGGGGAUAACGUUCCGAAAGGGACGCUAAUACCGCAUACGUUCUGCGGAAGAAAGCAGGGGACCUUCGGGCCUUGCGCUAUCAGAUGAGCCUGCGUCCGAUUAGCUAGUUGGGGGGGUAAAGGCCUACCAAGGCGACGAUCGGUAACUGGUCUGAGAGGAUGAUCACUCAGACUGGAACUGAGACACGGUCCAGACUCCUACGGGAGGCAGCAGUGGGGAAUAUUGGACAAUGGGCGCAAGCCUGAUCCAGCCAUGCCGCGUGUGUGAAGAAGGCCUUCGGGUUGUAAACUGCUUUUGUACGGAACGAAACGGUUCUCUCUAAUACAGGGGGCUAAUGACGGUACCGUAAGAAUAAGCACCGGCUAACUACGUGCCAGCCGCCGCGGUAACAC
rnacentral:rRNA from 1 species